rnacentral:rRNA from 1 species
UGGGGAAUAUUGGACAAUGGGGGGAACCCUGAUCCAGCCAUGCCGCGUGUGUGAAGAAGGUCUUCGGAUUGUAAAGCACUUUAAGUUGGGAGGAAGGGCAGUAAGCGAAUACCUUGCUGUUUUGACGUUACCGACAGAAUAAGCACCGGCUAACUCUGUGCCAGCAGCCGCGGUAAUACAGAGGGUGCAAGCGUUAAUCGGAAUUACUGGGCGUAAAGCGCGCGUAGGCGGCUAAUUGAGUCGGAUGUGAAAUCCCCGAGCUUAACUUGGGAAUUGCAUUCGAUACUGGUUAGCUAGAGUGUGGGAGAGGAUGGUAGAAUUCCAGGUGUAGCGGUGAAAUGCGUAGAGAUCUGGAGGAAUACCGAUGGCGAAGGCAGCCAUCUGGCCUAACACUGACGCUGAGGUACGAAAGCAUGGGGAGCAAACAGG